rnacentral:rRNA from 1 species
CCUACGGGAGGCAGCAGUGAGGAAUAUUGGUCAAUGGGCGCGAGCCUGAACCAGCCAAGUCGCGUGAAGGAUGACGGCCCUACGGGUUGUAAACUUCUUUUAUAAAGGAAUAAGGUGGGGCCCGUUUGCCUUUUUGUAGUUACUGUAUGAAUAAGGAUCGGCUAACUCCGUGCCAGCAGCCGCGGUAAUACGGAGGAUCCGAGCGUUAUCCGGAUUUAUUGGGUUUAAAGGGAGCGUAGAUGGGUUGUUAAGUCAGUUGUGAAAGUUUGCGGCUCAACCGUAAAAGUGCAAUUGAUACUGGCAGUCUUGAGUACAGGUGAGGUAGGCGGAAUUCGUGGUGUAGCGGUGAAAUGCUUAGAUAUCACGAAGAACUCCGAUUGCGAAGGCAGCUUAUUAAACUGCCACUGACACUGAGGCUCGAAAGUGUGGGUAUCAAACAGGAUUAGAUACCCCGGUAGUC